rnacentral:rRNA from 1 species
UACAGAGGGUGCAAGCGUUGUUCGGAAUCAUUGGGCGUAAAGGGCGUGUAGGCGGUCUGUUAAGUCAUGUGUGAAAUCCCUCGGCUCAACCGGGGAACGACGCAUGAAACUGACAAGCUAGAGUACCAAAGAGGGGGGUGGAACUGCGAGUGUAGAGGUGAAAUUCGUAGAUAUUCGCAAGAACACCAGUGGCGAAGGCGGCUCACUGGCCCGAUACUGACGCUGAGGUGCGAAAGCGUGGGGAGCAAACAGG